AAGGUAGCAUAAUAAUUAGGUUUUUAAUUGAAAUCUAGAAUGAAUGAUUGGACGAGAUAUAAGCUAUUUUAAAAUAAUUAAUUAAAACUUAAUUUUUUAGUUAAAAAGCUAAAAUUUUAUUAAAAGACGAGAAGACCCUAUAAAUCUUUAUAAUAAAUUUAUUUUUAUAGAUUAUUUUAUUUAAAUUAAUUAUUUUAAUAAGUAAAUUAUUUUAUUGGGGUGAUACAAAAAUUUAACUAACUUUUUUUGAUUUGUUAACUUAAAUUAAAGAUUUUAAAAUUAUGAUCUAUUAUUAAUAAUUCAAAGAAUAAGAUACUUUAGGGAUAACAGCGUAAUUUUAAUUUUAAGUUCUUAUUAAAAUUAAAGAUUGCGACCUCGAUGUUGGAUUAAAAUUUAAUUUAAAUGCAAAGGUUUAAAAAUUAAGUCUGUUCGACUUUUGAAAUUUUACAUGAUCUGAGUUCAAACCGGUGUGAGCCAGGUUG
rnacentral:rRNA from 1 species